UAAUUUACCUUUGGGUGGGGAACAACAGCCGGAAACGGCUGCUAAUACCGCAUAAUGCAGCGGCUCGACAUCGAGACAGUUGUUAAAGCGGGGGAUCGCAAGACCUCGCGCCUAAAGAGAAGCCCGCGGCAGAUUAGCUAGUUGGUAGGGUAAUGGCCUACCAAGGCGACGAUCUGUAACCGGCCUGAGAGGGCGGUCGGUCACACUGACACUGACAUACGGGUCAGACUCCUACGGGAGGCAGCAGUCGGGAAUUUUGGGCAAUGGGCGAAAGCCUGACCCAGCAACGCCGCGUGAAGGAUGAAGCUUUUCGGAGUGUAAACUUCACAAGAAUGGGAAGAAUAAGUUUAGGAUAAUACCCUGAACGAUGACGGUACCAUUUGUAAGCUCCGGCUAACUCCGUGCCAGCAGCCGCGGUAAUACGGGGGGAGCAAGCGUUGUUCGGAUUUACUGGGCGUAAAGGGCGCGUAGGCGGCGCGACAAGUCACUUGUGAAAUCUCUGAGCUCAACUCAGAACGGUCAAGUGAUACUGUCGUGCUAGAGUGCGGAAGGGGCAACUGGAAUUCUUGGUGUAGCGGUGAAAUGCGUAGAUAUCAAGAGGAACACCUGCGGCGAAGGCGGGUUGCUGGGCCGACACUGACGCUGAGGCGCGAAAGCUAGGGGAGCGAACGGGAUUAGAUACCCCGGUAGCCCUAGCCUUAAACGAUGAAUACUUGGUGUCCGGGGUUAGAUAGUCCCCGGGUGCCGUCGCUAACGCUUUAAGCAUUCCGCCUGGGGAGUACGGUCGCAAGACUGAAACUCAAAGGGAUUUGACGGGGACCC
rnacentral:rRNA from 1 species